rnacentral:lncRNA from 1 species
CAUUAAGUUCCCGAUUUAGGGUUUCAUGCACCGAAUUAGGGUUUCGGAUUCCCGGAACUGAAACUAGGGUUUCCAGAACCGAUUUCUAGGGUUUCUUAUCAGACGUUAGGGUUUUCUAACUGAACAUUGUUCUUAAUAUAUUCUUAGGGUUUGUUACAGAUAUAAUUUAUCUGGUCAACCCUUGACCAUUAACCACAUUCUGUAC